CUUUCCACGCGGCUCUAAGCCCUUGAGUCCCCCUCGAGGAUUUGGAGGAGACGCCGCCGCCGCCGCCCGGCUCCUCCUCAAGACACCGCCGCCCGACUCCUCAACACGCCGCCGACCGACGCCUCGACGCCGACGUACCUCCUCCGCCGUACUGGCCUUCUCCCCGGUGCCUCUUCCACGCUCCACCACCAUCAGCCUCCUUAACCCCGACCGAAGAGCUGACCUUUUCCCCUCUAAGAGACCUACCGCGUGGAAUCUUGUCAGAGUGAACAAAUUACCGCCGUCUUGAGAUUUUAUAGUUUGUAGCAAGUUUUAUCUUUGUUGUAAAAUUAUGUGGUGGCUGUGAUGAAUUGUUAUUGCCGUGAAAGAUUAUGAUGUUAUGAUAAAUUAUGAUUGAUGGGAUUCGGAUUCGAAGUCAUGUUAUUAUGAUAAAUUAUGUUGUUGUGAU
rnacentral:rRNA from 1 species